AGCGAACGCUGGCGGCAGGCUUAACACAUGCAAGUCGAGCGGGCAUCCUUGUGGUGUCAGCGGCAGACGGGUGAGUAACGCGUGGGAACGUGCCCUUCGGUUCGGAAUAACUCAGGGAAACUUGAGCUAAUACCGGAUACGCCCUUUUGGGGAAAGGUUUACUGCCGAAGGAUCGGCCCGCGUCUGAUUAGCUAGUUGGUGAGGUUAUGGCUCACCAAGGCGACGAUCAGUAGCUGGUCUGAGAGGAUGAUCAGCCACACUGGGACUGAGACACGGCCCAGACUCCUACGGGAGGCAGCAGUGGGGAAUAUUGGACAAUGGGGGCAACCCUGAUCCAGCCAUGCCGCGUGAGAUGACGGCCUUAGGGUUGUAAAGCUCUUUUCUCCGGGACGAUAAUGACGGUACCGGAGGAAUAAGCCCCGGCUAACUUCGUG
rnacentral:rRNA from 1 species